rnacentral:misc_RNA from 1 species
UAUAGAAUAAGUGAACUGUCAUCUGGUUUACUUUAUUCACUUUGCUAAUGUAUUAAAUUGAGCAUGGUAACAUAUUUCAACUUAAUCGGUUCAACUCAAGAGACUGCUGUAAACCAUCAGAAAAUAAUCAUUCAAGAUGACUUCAUACUACAGUCAUCUUAUAAAAGCCUCCAAGCCGAACCUGCUAUUCCUAACAAAGUAGAGGAUAUUGAUUAUCUGGUCAAUUUAAACGGUAAUUUAAGAUAUACUUCAAAAUAUCACCUUAUGGGAGAAGAUCCACCGCAACUGGUUGUAAGACGGGGAAAGACAUUUGGGGUCAAUGUUAAGUUUACGCGGCCUUUCAACAAGGAAAAAGACCACUUGACCAUAAGUGCCGUUUGGACUGAUAUUGCAAAUGAAUCAAAAAUAUAUAAGUACAGUAUGGAUUGUAACUGUGCGCACACAUUUAACAUAGCCAAGAAGCUCUGGUCUUGGAGUGCUAUAUUGUUCAAAAUAAGAAAAGAUGGCUUGUGGGCUUCAAUUGUGUUGUCUCCCCCAAAUAAUUGCCUUAUCGGGAAGUUUUACUUAAUAAUUAACACAAUCUGGGAAGGUGAAAUAAACACAUUUAAGGCCCCGAUGCCUAUUUAUAUGUUGUUCAAUCCUUGGCACUCGAGUGAUACUGCUUAUUUGCCAAAUUCUAUAGACAGAGCAGAUACGGUGUUGAAUGAUGUUGGAAUAAUUUACCGAGGGAUAUCAACCUCUAUAGAAAGCACUACUUGGAAAUAUGGUCAGUUUGACAAAGAUGUACUUUUGGCAGUUUUAACUAUGAUCUCGAAAUUUGGAGAGCUGGAAAUCAAUAAUUGGUCAAAUUGUUUGUCAAUAAUUGAUGCUGUGGCUAAAGCUAUUUCUAGUAUUAUUGAAAAUGACGAUAAUACCAAUGUCAGCUUUGCACCAUACGGAAGUGCCUACAUUCUUAAUCAGUGGUAUGAAACAGACUUACCUGUCAAAUAUGGGUGCUGUUACGUCAACAGCGGAAUUAUGACAACAGCUUACAGGGCUUUAGGAAUAUGUGCAAGGGCAGUAACUGGCUAUGACUUUGGAAUAAAUGCUGACCAAAGUUAUACAAUAGACUUUUUUUACUUAGAUGACUUUAAUGAGCGAUUGAAAUAUAAUAAUUAUAAACCAGAGGCAUCCUACUGUUAUCAUACUUGGUGCGAAGUAUUCAUGAAAAGAACUGACAUCGAUGAAAAAUAUUCAGGUUGGCAGGCGGUUGAAUCAGAUGCUGGUCCUUGUCCCGUACGAGCAGUGAAAACUGCAAACUUGGAUGUUCCGUGGGACGCAGAUUAUUUCUAUUCUGGGUUAAAUUCAGAUGUUCGCAUUUGGAAGGUCAGGAAAGGGAAGCCUUUAAGGCUCAUGGGUCGUGAAACAGAAAGAAUUGGGACCUAUGUUACAACAAAAGGCUUCAAACUAAAUAAAAUAAUAGAUCUGACACCCUUCUAUCAUGAUAAAAAACAAAUGACAAAAGAGCGAGUUUUGUUAGCAACUACCUUAAGGAAUGCUGAUGAAGUCUAUAACAACUUUGAAAAAAAUCCCCUUCUUAAAGACAUCUAUAUUAAAUUGAGACCGACCAAAAAUGUCAAAUUUGGUGAUUCAGUCAUCGUCUCUGUGCAUAUUAAAAAUUUUAGCCACUCCUCAUUAGAGGCUGAGUUUUGUCUCCAAGCCGUUUCAUUUCUUAACAGUGGCCAUCCGAAAGAACUUAUCAAAAGUAUCAAUAUAUCCAUAGUUGUGAAGAGAGGGGCGACUCAAGAGUUGAAACUCGUUGUGGGUCCUGAGGAGUAUUUUAAGUAUUUAGUUGAUGACUGGCUUCUCAAAGUUUAUGCCAGUGCAAGCUUGCCUAAGUACAAUCAUGAGUUUUUAGACUAUCAUGUAGUUCGAGUCUUCCCACCAAAUUUAACAUUUCAGGUGUUAUAUUUUUGUUGAAGUUUGGAAUAGAUAAGUUUGAAUUUUGUAAUGGGCAGAUAAAUUAGUAAAAUAUAACUGUAACACUAGUCCAUCAAACACACUCCAAGUUAUUUUUGCUAUCUCUAGACGGUUGCUUUAAUCUAGAAGAAAUCGACACUAACAAUAGGAUCAGCCUCUUGAGAGAAAUUGUCCCUGCAAAAGGUAG